AUGUACCAGGAACGAGCUAAAAAAGAUGCCAUUUUUUUUCCCACUGAUUUCAGUUUUAUUCCCCAGUGUCUCCCACUGAAGGAAGGUCACAAGCAACGAGGCAGCGGCACAUUGGAUCCGAAAUUGCUAAAGUUUGCUUGACUGACUGAGUGAAGAUCCUUCUAGGAAGAAUAAGCAACUGGAUCCAACUGGAUCUCCCCCACACUCCGUGUACCUUCUGCUGCGCUGCUCCUAACGCUGGCAAUUUAGCAAUCUGGCGUCUUGGCACUGUGUGGACAGAGGGUGUCUCACCCUGAGGUCAACCCUUGGAAUUUGAGGGAAGUCUGAAAUUGUAUGGAAAAAUGAACGUUUUUGAACAGCCAGGAAUUUUUCUGGAGAGAGAUAGAAGCAGAGGUAUGUGUGUGUGUGUGUGUGUGUGUGUGUGUGUGUGGGUGGUGGGUGGGUAGGUGGGUGGUGGUGUGGGAGAUCUCGUACCUCUCAUCAGACUCUCUUGGUAACAAAUGUUGAUUAAUAAAAAAUUGGUCAAGGAAUCUUUUCUCA
rnacentral:lncRNA from 1 species